rnacentral:tRNA from 1 species
AGAAUUAUAAUUUAAGUGCUAAAAAUAUUAAAUUGCAAAUUUGAAUUUAUAAUUAUUAUUAAUUCUU